rnacentral:rRNA from 1 species
AAUGAGCGGCGGACGGGUGAGUAACACGUAAAGAACCUGCCCUCAGGUCUGGGAUAACCACGAGAAAUCGGGGCUAAUACCGGAUGGGUCAUCGGACCGCAUGGUCCGAGGAUGAAAGGCGCUCCGGCGUCGCCUGGGGAUGGCUUUGCGGUGCAUUAGCUAGUUGGUGGGGUAAUGGCCCACCAAGGCGACGAUGCAUAGCCGACCUGAGAGGGUGAUCGGCCACACUGGGACUGAGACACGGCCCAGACUCCUACGGGAGGCAGCAGUAGGGAAUCUUCCACAAUGGACGAAAGUCUGAUGGAGCAACGCCGCGUGAACGAUGAAGGCCUUCGGGUCGUAAAGUUCUG